rnacentral:rRNA from 1 species
GAUGAACGCUGGCGGCGUGCUUAACACAUGCAAGUCGAACGGUGAACACGGAGCUUGCUCUGUGGGAUCAGUGGCGAACGGGUGAGUAACACGUGAGCAACCUGCCCCUGACUCUGGGAUAAGCGCUGGAAACGGCGUCUAAUACUGGAUAUGUGACGUGACCGCAUGGUCUGCGUUUGGAAAGAUUUUUCGGUUGGGGAUGGGCUCGCGGCCUAUCAGCUUGUUGGUGAGGUAAUGGCUCACCAAGGCGUCGACGGGUAGCCGGCCUGAGAGGGUGACCGGCCACACUGGGAUUGAGACACGGCCCAGACUCCUACGGGAGGCAGCAGUGGGGAAUAUUGCACAAUGGGCGAAAGCCUGAUGCAGCAACGCCGCGUGAGGGAUGACGGCCUUCGGGCUGUAAACCUUUUUUAGCAGGGAAGAAGCGAAAGUGACGGUACCUGCAGUAAAAGCGCCGGCUAACUACGUG